CAAUGGAAUCAUCAUUUUUUAUCAUAAUUUUUAUUCAUAUUUUUUUUAUUAUGAAAGGAUAUAUCUUCCUUUUAAUAAUGCCAAUGUAUGUACAAAUUUUAUUUUUAACUGAUGCCAGUUCAACACUUAACUCUUUGUUAGAUUGUCAGUAUUGAUAUCCAAGGACUGGCAAAUCACCUUAAUUUAUCUAUCAAAAUAUAAAACAAAAAGGUCCUUGAAAAUAAGAACAAAAACAACAGGAUUUGUGUUUUUAUAUUUUGAAAAUGUUUUUUAAUUUAAAAUUUUUAAGUAUUUAGAAUUAGUAAAUAAAUACUUGUCAUUGUUCAUUUGUUUGUUAUUAAGUGAGCAAUAAUUGCUAAUAUGUUUAUUUCUAUUUUUCGAGUCAAAACUGACUCGAGGGGUUUGAUUUUCGUCCUCAACGAUACAAUGUUUCAUAAUGUGAGUAAUUUAUUUUUCAAGGUCAUACCAUAAUGAAAAUUCAAUUCUCCGCCUAUUUUAUAAUAAUUAUGAUUAACAAAGGUUGGUGUGAACAUAUAUCAUAUAACAUAGAAGAUACAACGGUGAUCAAUUUUGAGAUAGUGUUCAGAAAAGUUUACAUUUUAGAACCUGUUCAAGAAUCUUAGUUAGUAUUACAUUGUAAGUAAUUAUUUGGAGACUAAGUUUAAAAUAAAAAGUAAUUAAUUUUUUUCCGGUUGUAUUGAAACUUUUCUUCAAAUACAAAAAAAUAAAUAAUUUUCAAAAUAAGUGACUUUGUCAGUUUUAUUAUUUCUUUUUUUUUUUUAAUUUUGUAAAUCUAAUAAUUGGUGGG